rnacentral:rRNA from 1 species
CAGUAGCCACGGGAAUACGAAGGGUGCAAGCGUUACUCGGAAUUACUGGGCGUAAAGCGUGCGUAGGCGGUUUGUUAAGUCUGCUGUGAAAUCCCCGGGCUCAACCUGGGAAUGGCAGUGGAUACUGGCAAGCUAGAGUGUGUCAGAGGAUGGUGGAAUUCCCGGUGUAGCGGUGAAAUGCGUAGAGAUCGGGAGGAACAUCAGUGGCGAAGGCGGCCAUCUGGGACAACACUGACGCUGAGGCACGAAAGCGUGGGGAGCAAACAGGAUUAGAUACCCCAGUAGUCCCUGUCUCUUAUAC